AAGCUAUUAAACAAGCUUGCAUUCGCUAGAGCGUCAGGUCAAACUGGCGGUAGCAAAGUUUUGACUGAUUUGGUAGAUGAAUUGCAGGAACCAGGUGUUGCUGUUGAGCUUUAAUAAAUUCAGAAUUAUUCAACCAAGCCUUGAAUCAAUUUCAUUGAAAACUGGCGGUGGUAUGUAUUCCCAAGCAGCUAACAGGGAAGGAUCAGAUGACAACUACCUAUAUUAUCCUCAUCCAAAUAUGUCCCAAGGAAAGAGGAGUUUAUCCGUUUCCGUCACCACUGGGCUAAAGGUGAACCGGUAAUUGUAAAAGACGUCUUAGAGCAGACAAGUGGUUUAAGCUGGGAGCCAAUGCUAAUGUGGUGUGCAUUAUGUGAACAUGUGGAUCCUAAUGUCAGUUCAAAGAUGUCACAAGUCAAGACUAUUGAUUGCUUGGCUGGUUGUGAGGUGGAAAUCAGCACUUGGGAAUUUUUCAAGGGUUACACAGAAGGAAGGAAAUAUCUGAAUUCAUGGCCACGUCAUUGUUACGAGUUCAUCAGUGCAUUGCCUUUUCAAGAGUACAACGAUCCAAGGAAGGGUUUUCUCAAUUUUGUUGUCAAGUUACCACCUGGUGUUUUAAAACCCGAUCUUGGGCCCAAGACGUAUAUUGCAUACGGAAUUCCCCGAGAACUUGGGAGAGGGGAUUCCAUCACCAAACUUCAUUGUGAUGUGUCAGAUGUUGUGAAUAUAUUGACACACACAGCGGAAGUAUCAAAUAGUGAGGAGUAGCAACUAGCAAUUAAGAAGUUAAAGAGAAGACACAGGAGCCGGGAUGAAAGAGAAAAAAACUGAUGGUCUUUUUCGUUUUGGUGAUAAAUUUGGUGGUUAUAAAGAGGAAUCGAAUUCAAAUGAGAGAGGAGAUACAUGUGGUGCUCUUUGGGAUAUAUUUAGAAGGGAAGAUGUUAAGAUUUUAGAGGAGUAUCUAUUGAAGCACUCUAGAGAAUUUCGACACACAUAUUGUUGUCCUAUUAAUAAGGUUUAUAACCCUAUUCACGAUCAAGCAUAUUACUUGACAUUGGAGCAUAACCAGGAAGCUAAAAGAGGAGUAUGGUGUUGAACCAUGGACUUUUGAACAACAUUUGGGAGAAGUCGUUUUCAUUCCUGCUGGAUGUCCACAUCAAGUGCAAAAUCUUAAGGUAACUUCCAUUUUAAUUAUUUAACCAUGACU